rnacentral:rRNA from 1 species
GACGUAGGGGGCAAGCGUUGUCCGGAAUCAUUGGGCGUAAAGCGCUCGUAGGCGGAUCUUUAAGUCUGUGAAGAAAGACCUGGGCUCAACUCAGGGAACGGCAUGGAUACUAUUGAUCUUGAGGUAGUUAGAGGAUGAUGGAAUUCCCGGUGUAGCGGUGAAAUACGUAGAUAUCGGGAGGAACACCAGUGGCGAAGGCGAUCAUCUGGGACUGACCUGACGCUGAGGAGCGAAAGCCAGGGGAGCAAACGGG